AGAGUUUGAUCAUGGCUCAGAUUGAACGCUGGCGGCAGGCCUAACACAUGCAAGUCGAGCGGUAGCACAGAGAGCUUGCUCUCGGGUGACGAGCGGCGGACGGGUGAGUAAUGUCUGGGAAACUGCCUGAUGGAGGGGGAUAACUACUGGAAACGGUAGCUAAUACCGCAUAAUGUCGCAAGACCAAAGUGGGGGACCUUCGGGCCUCAUGCCAUCAGAUGUGCCCAGAUGGGAUUAGCUUGUAGGUGGGGUAACGGCUCACCUAGGCGACGAUCCCUAGCUGGUCUGAGAGGAUGACCAGCCACACUGGAACUGAGACACGGUCCAGACUCCUACGGGAGGCAGCAGUGGGGAAUAUUGCACAAUGGGCGCAAGCCUGAUGCAGCCAUGCCGCGUGUGUGAAGAAGGCCUUCGGGUUGUAAAGCACUUUCAGCGGGGAGGAAGGCGGUGAGGUUAAUAACCUCAUCGAUUGACGUUACCCGCAGAAGAAGCACCGGCUAACUCCGUGCCAGCAGCCGCGGUAAUACGGAGGGUGCAAGCGUUAAUCGGAAUUACUGGGCGUAAAGCGCACGCAGGCGGUCUGUCAAGUCGGAUGUGAAAUCCCCGGGCUUAACCUGGGAACUGCAUUCGAAACUGGCAGGCUAGAGUCUUGUAGAGGGGGGUAGAAUUCCAGGUGUAGCGGUGAAAUGCGUAGAGAUCUGGAGGAAUACCGGUGGCGAAGGCGGCCCCCUGGACAAAGACUGACGCUCAGGUGCGAAAGCGUGGGGAGCAAACAGGAUUAGAUACCCUGGUAGUCCACGCCGUAAACGAUGUCGAUUUGGAGGUUGUGCCCUUGAGGCGUGGCUUCCGGAGCUAACGCGUUAAAUCGACCGCCUGGGGAGUACGGCCGCAAGGUUAAAACUCAAAUGAAUUGACGGGGGCCCGCACAAGCGGUGGAGCAUGUGGUUUAAUUCGAUGCAACGCGAAGAACCUUACCUGGUCUUGACAUCCACAGAACUUAGCAGAGAUGCUUUGGUGCCUUCGGGAACUGUGAGACAGGUGCUGCAUGGCUGUCGUCAGCUCGUGUUGUGAAAUGUUGGGUUAAGUCCCGCAACGAGCGCAACCCUUAUCCUUUGUUGCCAGCGGUCCGGCCGGGAACUCAAAGGAGACUGCCAGUGAUAAACUGGAGGAAGGUGGGGAUGACGUCAAGUCAUCAUGGCCCUUACGACCAGGGCUACACACGUGCUACAAUGGCAUAUACAAAGAGAAGCGACCUCGCGAGAGCAAGCGGACCUCAUAAAGUAUGUCGUAGUCCGGAUUGGAGUCUGCAACUCGACUCCAUGAAGUCGGAAUCGCUAGUAAUCGUAGAUCAGAAUGCUACGGUGAAUACGUUCCCGGGCCUUGUACACACCGCCCGUCACACCAUGGGAGUGGGUUGCAAAAGAAGUAGGUAGCUUAACCUUCGGGAGGGCGCUUACCACUUUGUGAUUCAUGACUGGGGUGAAGUCGUAACAAGGUAACCGUAGGGGAACCUGCGGUUG
rnacentral:rRNA from 1 species